rnacentral:lncRNA from 1 species
CACGCCCUCUUCCGCCCCCGAAAAAGUGCGAAAACCUCCCAAAUCUACAGUUUUGAAGAUAAAAGAAAACUAAAAACGUCAUUCCGUAGGAAAUGGCCAUAUCUAUUAGAUCACCAAAUUGGGAUCCGAUCGGAUCAUUAUUAUAGCCACAAUGAAGACAUUAAUUUCCAGUGCUUAAACGCACCCUGUCCCGCAGAUUUUGUUGUUCUUUUUACAUUCACUCAUUCGCACUCUGCUU